rnacentral:rRNA from 1 species
AUUGCGUUUCAAAUUUUUAUUUGAGGACCAGGUUUUGGUUUGGGUAGUGGUCCUACGAUGACUGUGAACUGUCAUGUCUUCGGAUGUGCGACUAUCGGUCUAGGAUCGCAUCUCAGCCCCUGGGACUCUUUUGAACGCAACGGACGUGAUUGCAACCCCUUGUUGAGAUUAGAGGAGUCUCGAUAUUCAUUGGCCAAACUUACCGCUUCGAGCUUGCUCGUGCAGUUUUGUUAGCCGGUGGAUAAACUCGGGGGACUGCUGACUAUAACCAUUUCUCAAAACAGAGGAAGGUUGCGGCAAUAACAGGUCUGUGAUGCCCUUAGAUGUCCCGGGCUGCACACGUGCUACAAUGA